rnacentral:lncRNA from 1 species
CAGGUCAAGCUUUCUUUCUUUUCCUUUUGUUUUGUUUUUUGUUUUUUGCAGAAUAUGCAGGUCAAGCUGUACUAUAAGUUGGGAAAAGAAAAAAAAAGUAGUUUAAUAUUAUUUAAAUACAUUUUUCUUUCAUGCAAGCGAUAGUAUAAAGUACUCUAAAUUGAUCUAUUCUACGAAAAAAAAAGGGAUUCAAACUUGUGUGUAAGGGGCGAACUCACUGCCUUGGCCAACUUAUCUAACCUUAGUGUUACAUUUUCUAAUCACAUUAGUCGAUCACACAAAUGAUUGAGUAGUUAAUAUGUAUAGAAAAGUUGAUAUAGAUCCAAAUUUCUAUUGAGGAGUUGGGUUUAAUCCUCAGAUUUGGUGACUUUGAUCUAAGUCCUUUGACUUUUGUGCCACAUAGGAUUACAUUCCUUUUUAAAUAUUUUCUGAUGUAAUACUUUUUUCUUAUUUAUUUUUAAAAUUAUUUUUGUUCUAAUGUUGCCCCUUAUAACUUGAAUCGGGUAAUAGUCAUUUAUGUCAUUAUAAUUAGUUGUUUACAACAUUUGGCAUUGAGUAGAAAAGGAAAAUAUAGCAAACAUAUCCCAAAAAUCACAUUUUUACCUACAAUCAUACUCCUUCGAACUCUAAAUGUUUUGACAAAGGAAAAAAUGCAUUUGUUUACAAUGUCCUAUUGCAUAGGUAUAUAUGUGUUUUUUUUUCUUCAUAUUUUCGACAAUGUGUAAUUUUUAUAGGUAACAUAAAAUUUUAUUUGUCUAUUUUUGUAUCUGACUUAUAAGUAGUAUUCUAAUUUAUGUUCCUAAUUUAUAGGUAGUCUUGUAAUUUAUGUUCCUAACUUAUAGGUAACACGAUUUAUCAAGGAUAUAAUUCAAAAUUUAAAUUCUGAAAUGCAAUUACAAGGAAAUAAUGCAUUUAAUUUAUAUUUUUAAUGUGUUUUCCUUAUUUACAUCAAAUGGUAAAAUCAACAUAAAAAAAGAAGUAAUAAAUGUCAAAGGACCUACGUCUAAAACAAAAAACGAGUGGACUAAACCCAAUAACAGUUAAUCGUUUUGAACAUACAUCUAAGAAGCCCUAAUAUGUAUCUAUUACAUCAAUUAAAUUGACCAAGCUAUUACCAAGUUAUGUCUGUAGAAAUGUCGUAGCAUUACUUAUGUUGUUUCUGAACUCAUUCAAUCUAUCAUGCCCCAGUUUUGUUCUUCAUUUUAUUUUCUAUAGAAAGUCUUGACAAAAAUUAUGUUGCUGAUAUUAACAAUUCAGAUUGACCCAAUUAAGUACAAGAGCGUCACAUCCGGAUUUGGAGUUCUGUUGAAGGAGCAGGGCAUCAGAGGUUUGUUCAAGGGCUGGGCGCCCACCUUGAUCGGCUACAGCGCCCAGGGUGCUGGAAAGUAUGGCCUCUAUGAGUUUUUCAAGAAGUACUACACAGACAUUGCAGGGCCAGAGUAUGCAGCCAAGUACAAGACCUUGAUCUACCUUGCAGGCUCUGCAUCAGCUGAAGUCAUUGCUGAUGUUGCCCUCUGUCCCAUGGAAGCUGUCAAAGUUCGUGUCCAAACUCAGCCCGGCUUUGCCAGAGGCUUGGCUGAUGGGCUUCCAAAGAUCAUCAAAUCCGAAGGCGCUCUCGGGUUUGAAUCCGAAUCCUUUCAUAUUCUUUUGGUUCUUGUGUUUGAAGAACUUUGGUUUGAUGAUUACUUUCACUGUGUUGCAGGUUGUACAAGGGGCUUGUUCCUCUUUGGGGACGUCAGGUUCCUUGUAAGUUUGAAAGGUUUCCCUCAUCUCCUUUGGAUAUCUUGAUGCACUGAAAUCAAAUUUUAACAUUUUGGGAUUUGAUUUCUGCAGAUACUAUGAUGAAAUUUGCGGCGUUCGAGAAUACAAUCGAGCUGAUGUACAAGCAUGUCAUCCCAACACCUAAAGAGCAAUGCAGCAAACCUUUGCAGCUGGGGGUGAGCUUUGCCAGUGGAUAUAUUGCUGGUGUAUUCUGUGCUGUUGUCUCACACCCAGCUGACAACUUGGUCUCUUUCCUCAACAAUGCCAAGGGAGCAACUGUUGGUGAUGUGAGUUUUUAUAUAUAUGCAUGCAGAACAUAAACCCUUUUUUGUUCUUUCUUUCUUUCUCUAUGCUCAGUUUUUUGUUUUCAUUGCCGAUGUCUUGCAGGCUGUGAAGAAGCUAGGGUUAUUAGGUCUUUUCACUCGUGGUCUUCCUCUUCGAAUAUUCAUGAUUGGAACCCUCAGUGCAGGCCAAUGGGCUCUCUAUGACACUUUCAAAGUUUUGGUUGGGCUGUAAGUCUAUGCUCCCUUCAUUUUCCUUGUGAUUUUCCAUAUCCUAUGCUUGGAAGCUUCAUACUUAUCCAUGUUCUGCAAACUGUUCUGUUUUCCCAGGCCAACUACCGGUGGUCCUGCUCCCGCCGCCACCGAGCUUGCCAAGGCUUGAAAUUGAAGCUGAUGGUUCGUAUAUUAUACCGUACAAAUUUUGUUUGUAAACUUUUUCUUCAUGCCAUUUUCUGCCCGGUUUCAUUGAAAGGGCGAUGUUUGGGGUAAAGUUCCCCACGGAGGAAUAUGCAACAUAAAAAUAAAAAAUUCCAACUGCUUGUAUCUUUUUUUGAUCAAAUAGAAAAUUUCAUUCAUCACUAACACCAGACAAACGAUAAAAGUUUACAAACGAACGGAGGGCGUUAGUGUGGCCUCAUUGAAACCUUGCCAUCAAAAACUCCCAAUGGAGGAAAAUCCGGUCAAGAAAAAAGAGUACCACCGCACCUCAAAAAUGCAAACAAAGAUCUACGCCAUAGUUCUAUCCUUAUCUAAGAGAAUGCUUAGCCAAGGAGGAACACUGUCUGUCCAGAAAUGUCGAGACCUCGCUCUCAAUCCAUGCUGGGCUAGGCUAUGUGCCACCCCAUUGCCUUUCCGAUGUUGAUAGAACAAUCCAGCCACCUCUCGAUCAACCAUUAACCGACGAACAUCCUCCACCACAUUACCAAUAUUACUCCACCAAUCCAACCCAUUUUUGAGAAUAGAAACAGCUUCUUGAGAGUCAAGACCAAUGGUAAACCAAGUAAAACCCAUGUAUCCCAUCAUCAAUAAACCUUCCCGGACAGCCGCCAACUCAAUGCCCAAAACAUCCAGACCAGGUGGACCAAAAGAAGCAAACCCACAGACAAAGUUUCCGUCAUGAUCACGACAGCAGCCCCCCAGACCCCUACCACUUUGCCCACGACCCACAGUCCCAUCACAGUUAAAAGUAUUUACCCGUGGUUUCAACCAAUGGACCUGUUGAGGUACAAAGGGGAGCUUGGACCGCUCCUCACAAGAUUUGAACACUGCCAGCAUUUCCAUCGUGUUUUCCACCAUGUUAUCCAACCGUGUAAUCUGUUUCCCAUGCAAAGAGUCAUUACGUAGCUUCCACGCACUCCACACACAACAAGCAAAGCGCUCUAAGUCAGCUUUCGACAUCAUUGAAGCCACAGCCUCAAAAACAUCAGCAAAAGUGCCAACAGCCAUAGUAAUUCGCCGGAUAAAAUAGGUACACUUCAAAAAAUUUGACUCAUUUUACAAGACCACAGAGCGUGGUAGGCAUAUUCAGGAUAUUUCCCACACCUUGAGCACACAUGAGAUGUAAGCACCCUUCUCUUAAAUAAAUUGACUGCAGUUGGUAGAAUUUCAGAACUUGCCCUCCAAAUUAGCAUUUUAAUUUUGUUGGGGACUGCAAGCUUCCAAAUUCGCAUCCAAAAACCUUCCUGAGCACUCAAAUCCGAUCCCCCCACUCCAAAAUCUUCAUCACACUGCCUUACCGCGACACGAUACCCAGUAUUAACGGUAUAUUUCCCGUUCUUUGAGAAAAACCAAUAUUUGCUAUCCCCCUGCUGUGAGACUGAUCCCAAGGCGAUGCUAGAAAUAAUAUCUUGAUCUUCCAAGCUAAAAUGUUGCUCUAACAAAGGUAAAUCCCAUGAACCAGAAGCAGUUAGAAGGUCAGAGACUGUAGUAUUCCAAUCCAGCCCUCUAGCCAACAACGGCUUGAAAGUAAAUGGUUUUGGAAUCCACCUAUCUUGGAAAAUACGGAUAGAAGCUCCAUUGCCCACCCUCCAAAUCAGACCAUCCUCAAUAACCACACGACCCCACAAAAUAGAUUUCCAUAUCAUUGAAGGUCAAGCAUAUGAAUACAAUAAAAUUAUAAAACAUCCUGUUAUUAUAUCAGAAAGAACCUUUCCAAAGGCUUUGCACUCGUAGGCAACCACGUUCUAGGGUAAGGUGUGGGCAAAAAAGGGGAAAAAAAAAAAACAAUUCCCAUGAUUUACUGUUAUAAAUUUUUUUAAAUUGUUCUCACAAACAAGUAUUCAUGUUUCAAAAUUGUCACGAUUUAGAAUAAGCGGAUAUAUGGUAUCAAACACAACUCUUGCAAAAAUAUGCCGAACUUCCGGCAGGUUUCCCACAGCCAAUGACUCAUAAUCAAUCUUGCUGCCUUGCUUUGGCACAAAUCCCCUCUCUGCACCAGACGUUACGCAACUAAAAACCCUGCUGACCCUCAGAGAUAACCCCCAUGGGAUAAAUACCUGGAAGUUGAGAUCAAACCCAAUAACCCUUUAGAGUUUCUCAAUAAAUGAGAUGAAUGCAGACAACACACACACAAACAGCAAACAAAAACAAUAAAAUCUUGUCAUGAGGACAAGAAAUGUUUAAAUGAAGGAAGGUGCUCACCAGAUCAGAAUAUGGUGCUUGUGGGUACCCUGCCAUCGCCACAGAGACUAUUUGCUCAUCAGUCAUAUGGUUUAGCGCACGCUUAAGAGAUGUUGCAAGAUUCACAACCUCAUCUUUCAAUGCUCGAGGGUUCAAAUCCUGAGUUUCUGAUAAUUCAUUAAAGCAAACAUCGUGUAGUUUAGUGAUUCUCCUAGCAAUGUUUACUGCUUCUAGCAUAUCUCCACCAUUGUGAAUUGCAAGGCUAAAUGCAGCAACCACCAAUGGAUCCCUAGGUUGUUCGGACAGUGCUUUGUGGAAUGCUAAGAUCGCAACCCUGGAAGUGUAAACCUGUGAUGAGUCUCAGUUGGUCCAACUCGUAAUGAGCUUGUAAGUACACAUCAUAGAAUCUCCAAUACAUAAAAGAAUCAUGCAACUUAAUUUGCUUAGAUUACUCAGACCAAUAAAAAGAAAAAGGAGCAAACAAACUGCGAAGAAAUAUGAUGCAAGGGCAAGAGUACUCCAGUACAACCUGGAGGAAUUCAAAACAAGGAACAACUUGUAAGUAUGCAGAAUAAGGCUGCAUACAUCUAACCCUCCCCAAACCUCCCAAUGGCAGGAGUCUCAUACACCAAGCCAAAGAAAUACUGUUCUAUAACAUGAGAAUCCAAGAAAAACUGAUACAAUGCAAGUAUGACCAAUUAAACCAUUUCAAUCUUCUAUCUUUUCAGUCGCCUGUUAUUAAUGGCAUAAAGAAAACACAUGAGCAUUCUGUUAUCAUAAACAUCUUACCAUAAGCUACUGUGGCAUGGCUUGUCAGGUGAAAGAAGUUUAUCCAAGUUAGAAAGAAGGGACUGCAUGUGGAAAGCCAGAGAAUUAAAUGCACUUUUAGGUCAAACCCUCUUCACGAUAUAAUCAAGCACUGAAUAAGCAUAUAACAAGUGUGUAAUGAUAAUUACCAAAAGCAUAUUAGUCCUUUUGUCACGUCUUCGAAAACCAUGGCUAACAAAAUAUGCUGCCUGCAAUAUGAAACUGUAUUGAAACUUAUUGUAUUGUGCGGACAAGUAGCAAAUUUAUUCAAUAUUAAAUCCAUACCUGAAUAGGUAGAAGUAGUUCUAGAAGUCCAAAUUUCCAUAAUAACCUCAAAGAAGCUUCAGCAGAACCAUAAGCUAGCAUGUAGUUCAUUUCCAUGAGGAGCCUUCCCUAAAGUAUGAAGUAAUGACUAAGUAAUUCAGGAACUCAAGAAUACUAAGUGCAAGGAAAAUGAUAAGGUCCAAGAUCUCUUAAAUUACCUUAUCAAGCCUAAGAAUUGAGUAAGAUAAAUUUUUAACAGAAUGAGCUGUUUCCUUGGAAAUACGAAAGCCUAAACGGGCAGCAAUUCUUAUUGCACGUAGGAUGCGAGCUGCACAUACGCAGAAUCUGAUUUAGUUUCUCCACAAACAUGAGAAAGAUUUUGUCAAGUGUGCAUGGGUUGGGUGUGUUCUUAGAACACACCCCCCACGGGAGAUAACAACUACUUAGCAACGCUUAUGUCAAGUUAAUUAUAAUUAAGCAGCUGCUUUCUUCUCAACGAGCUUCUCUAUCAAAUCAGCUGCUUCUUGGACCGUGCUUAUGUUCUGAGAGCUCUCCUCUUCAACGCUUAUGUCAAAUUCUUCCUCCAAACCUAUCACUAUCUCCACCUGCAACAGAUCAUCCAGUCUUAUUUUUAUCCACCAAUAAAUUAUAUAUAUUUAAUUUAAAAACCAUAUGCAUAAAUAGAAUUUGAUAAUCAAUUGGAGUAGAAAAUAAUGGCAGCAGGGCAUACUGUGUCAAGAGAGUCGGCACCAAGGGAUGCAAACUUGGAGUCAGGGGUGACCUCAUACUCUGGAGGCAAAGCCAGUUGCUUCCUCACAAUCUCCACAACCUUUUGCACUGUCUCAGGUUUGGCCUGUCCACUUUUCAAUUUUCAUUAUGUGGUUUUCAAUAUAUAACUUGUUAAGCGUGAAAUAUAUCGCCGUGUAUCAGAUGCACACAAUAAUUUUUCUCGAGUUGAAGAACUUACCGCGCAACAGAUUUGGAGACGAGAGGUCCUCAGAGAAGAGAAACCAGUCUUAGCCCAUUCAUUAGAAACCAAUUGUAAACUUAAACUUGUUCUUGUUACCUACAUUAUUAGUUCAUAAGCAUCAAAAGCAGAUAUUGGCUCAUAUUUAUACUUUCAGUUUAAUCACAUUUACUUAUUGAUCUGAAAAACCUUCAAUUGGGCAAUAAUUCAAUAAUAAAAAAUUUUGAAAAAAAAACAAAUGAUGGUAACAUUCAAUCCAUAGAUAAGGCAAACCCAAAAUUUAGAAGACAACCCAAAUGAAUAAAAAAAUGGAAGAAAAAGACAGAGACAUUAGGUUAAAUGCUAAUACCAGGCCAGAAGUCUUGGUUGGCUGGUUUUGAAAGGGCUGGAACCUGCAAAGAGAAGUAGCUGAAACAGAAGCCAUUGAAGCUGCUCAAGAAACCAAACCGCAAAAACUUUGUUACUCAAAACAAACAGAGAGACAUGGUGAGGGUGAUGUAAAGUUGUGCCCUAUUGGAACAGAGCUGCCGUAUCUUCUACUUACGUGGCAGACAUUGGAAAUUAUGGGUGGGCCCUUGGAAUUCAGGUACAAGUUGCCAGAUGGGACAAAUUAACAACUAGACCAUCCAUCCAUGUAGUUUGUCUGUUUUCGCAAUUAGUUUUAAUUUUGUUAAUUUUGUCAUUGUAAUUUUAAAUCUCCUGCAAAUUCAAAGACACGUUUAAAUUAUGUCAAAUUUUUUUUAAUUUCGUUCAAAAUACCCUUUAAUAUCAUCGACACAUACUUAUUAUGUCACAUAAUAAAACAGAAAUUUAAACAUACUUUUGAACUAUAGGAGUUAAAUUGUCAGAAUAAAAACCGCAUAAACAAAAGUGAAAAAUCAGACAAACCACAAGAGCCGAAGAUGAUUUUUUGCCUUCAUAAUUAUUAGAGUACUGGGAGGAAGAAACGAAACUGGUUACGUCCCUGCUUACCGACAAGGCUUUUGAUUCAAAAGUUUUGAAUGAUUGGUCAACGCCGUGAAUUAACUAUCUGAAAUAAAGCUUCAAUAUAAAUUGCGCGCCACGCGGAUAUUUUUCGAGGUGUGCUUCCACCAAAAGGCAGAGCCUUCCAAAAUUGCAGAGAGAGACUUCAAUCAAUCAAUAAUGGCAGAUCCACUCAACAACACAAACUCUCGCCACUCUCUCCUCCCAAGCUUCCUCUACUCUUCAUCUUCUUCAAUGGUGGCAUCAGGUUAUGCAUCAUCAGCACCGUCAUCAAGGGUGGUGAUUGCAGCGCCUAGAGAGAAGGUGGAGAUGUACUCUGCUGAGUUCUAUGCGGCGUGUGGAGUUGCAGGUAUGCUGGCCACUGGCCUAACCCAUUUGGCCGUCACUCCUAUCGAUGUCGUCAAGUGUAAUAUGCAGGUCAAGCUUUCUUUCUUUUCCUUUUGUUUUUGUUUUUUUUCAAAAUAUGCAGGUCAAGCUGUCCUAUAAGUUGGGUAAAAAAAAAGUAGUUUAAUAUUUUUUAAAUACAUUUUUUUUUCAUACAAGCGAUAGUAUAAACUACUCUAAAUUGAUCUAAUCUACGAAAAAAGGGGAUUCAAACUUGUGUGUAAUGGGCGAACUCAACGCCUUGGCCAACUUAUCUAACCUUAGUGUUACAUUUUGUGAUCACAUUAGUCGAUCACACAAAUGAUUUGAGUAGUUAAUAUGUAUCUAUUACAUCAAUUAGCAUGACCAACUAUUACCAAGUUAUGUCUGUAGAAAUGUCGUAGCAUUACUUAUGUUGUUUCUGAACUCAUUCAAUCUAUCAUGCCCCAAUUUUGUUCUUCAUUUUAUUUUCUAUAGAAAGUCUUAACAAAAAUUAUGUUGCUGAUAUUAACAAUUCAGAUUGACCCAAUUAAGUACAAGAGCGUCACAUCCGGAUUUGGAGUUCUGUUGAAGGAGCAGGGCAUCAGAGGUUUGUUCAAGGGCUGGGCGCCCACCUUGAUCGGCUACAGCGCCCAGGGUGCUGGAAAGUUUGGCCUCUAUGAGUUUUUCAAGAAGUACUACACAGACAUUGCAGGGCCAGAGUAUGCAGCCAAGUACAAGACCUUGAUCUACCUUGCAGGCUCUGCAUCAGCUGAAGUCAUUGCUGAUGUUGCCCUCUGUCCCAUGGAAGCUGUCAAAGUUCGUGUCCAAACUCAGCCCGGCUUUGCCAGAGGCUUGGCUGAUGGGCUUCCAAAGAUCAUCAAAUCCGAAGGCGCUCUCGGGUUUGAAUUCGAAUCCUUUCAUAUUCUUUUGGUUCUUGUGUUUGAAGAACUUUGGUUUGAUGAUUACUUUC